rnacentral:rRNA from 1 species
UACGAAGGGGGCUAGCGUUGCUCGGAAUCACUGGGCGUAAAGGGUGCGUAGGCGGGUCUUUAAGUCAGGGGUGAAAUCCUGGAGCUCAACUCCAGAACCGCCUUUGAUACUGAAGAUCUUGAGUGCGGGAGAGGUGAGUGGAACUGCGAGUGUAGAGGUGAAAUUCGUAGAUAUUCGCAAGAACACCAGUGGCGAAGGCGGCUCACUGGCCCGAUACUGACGCUGAGGCACGAAAGCGUGGGGAGCAAACAGG